GUAAAUUUGAGCGGAUGUCCCCUUAUACCCUAAUAAUUUUGGAAUUUUAAUUUGAAAUUCUGUUUACAAUUGUGCUCUCGUCAUCUCCAGUGGAAUCAACACUUUUGCAGGUUGAGAGGUGGACGUUAAAAUAAAUUGAAAAUGAACAACUCUUCUGCAGGGCCAUCCUCAAAAGCUAGAGUAGGAGCAUCACAACCUUCAGAAAGUUCACUUAAGAGGAAACGUGGCAUGUUUCAGAAAGAUUGUUAGUGACUCUUUAUGUAGAUGUGAUAAUAAUGUUAAAU
rnacentral:misc_RNA from 1 species